GAUGAACGCUGGCGGCGUGCCUAAUACAUGCAAGUCGAGCGAACAGACGAGGAGCUUGCUCCUCUGACGUUAGCGGCGGACGGGUGAGUAACACGUGGAUAACCUACCUAUAAGACUGGGAUAACUUCGGGAAACCGGAGCUAAUACCGGAUAAUAUAUUGAACCGCAUGGUUCAAUAGUGAAAGACGGUUUUGCUGACACUUAUAGAUGGAUCCGCGCCGCAUUAGCUAGUUGGUAAGGUAACGGCUUACCAAGGCAACGAUGCGUAGCCGACCUGAGAGGGUGAUCGGCCACACUGGAACUGAGACACGGUCCAGACUCCUACGGGAGGCAGCAGUAGGGAAUCUUCCGCAAUGGGCGAAAGCCUGACGGAGCAACGCCGCGUGAGUGAUGAAGGUCUUCGGAUCGUAAAACUCUGUUAUUAGGGAAGAACAAAUGUGUAAGUAACUAUGCACGUCUUGACGGUACCUAAACAGAAAGCCACGGCUAACUACGUG
rnacentral:rRNA from 1 species